rnacentral:rRNA from 1 species
GACGAACGCUGGCGGCGUGCCUAAUACAUGCAAGUUGAGCGAUGAAGAUUGGUGCUUGCACCAAUUUGAAGAGCAGCGAACGGGUGAGUAACGCGUGGGGAAUCUGCCUUUGAGCGGGGGACAACAUUUGGAAACGAAUGCUAAUACCGCAUAACAACUUUAAACAUAAGUUUUAAGUUUGAAAGAUGCAAUUGCAUCACUCAAAGAUGAUCCCGCGUUGUAUUAGCUAGUUGGUGAGGUAAAGGCUCACCAAGGCGAUGAUACAUAGCCGACCCGAGAGGGUGAUCGGCCACAUUGGGACUGAGACACGGCCCAAACUCCUACGGGAGGCAGCAGUAGGGAAUCUUCGGCAAUGGACGAAAGUCUGACCGAGCAACGCCGCGUGAGUGAAGAAGGUUUUCGGAUCGUAAAACUCUGUUGGUAGAGAAGAACGUUGGUGAGAGUGGAAAGCUCAUCAAGUGACGGUAACUACCCAGAAAGGGACGGCUAACUACGUGCCAGCAGCCGCGGUAAUACGUAGGUCCCGAGCGUUGUCCGGAUUUAUUGGGCGUAAAGCGAGCGCAGGUGGUUUAUUAAGUCUGGUGUAAAAGGCAGUGGCUCAACCAUUGUAUGCAUUGGAAACUGGUAGACUUGAGUGCAGGAGAGGAGAGUGGAAUUC